UAACACGUGGGUAACCUGCCUGUAAGACUGGGAUAACUCCGGGAAACCGGAGCUAAUACCGGAUAGUUCCUUGAACCGCAUGGUUCAAGGAUGAAAGACGGUUUCGGCUGUCACUUACAGAUGGACCCGCGGCGCAUUAGCUAGUUGGUGAGGUAACGGCUCACCAAGGCGACGAUGCGUAGCCGACCUGAGAGGGUGAUCGGCCACACUGGGACUGAGACACGGCCCAGACUCCUACGGGAGGCAGCAGUAGGGAAUCUUCCGCAAUGGACGAAAGUCUGACGGAGCAACGCCGCGUGAGUGAUGAAGGUUUUCGGAUCGUAAAGCUCUGUUGUUAGGGAAGAACAAGUGCAAGAGUAACUGCUUGCACCUUGACGGUACCUAACCAGAAAGCCACGGCUAACUACGUGCCAGCACCCGCGGUAAUACGUANGUGGCAAGCGUUGUCCGAAAUUAUUGGGCGUAAAGGGCUCGCAGGCGGUUUCUUAAUUCUGAUGAGAAACCCCCCGGCUCACCGGGGAAGGGUCAUUGAAAACUGGGAAACUUGAUUGCAAAAAAGGAGAGUGGAAUUCCACGUGUAGCGGNNAAAUGCGUAAAGAUGUGGAGGAACACCAGUGGCCAAAGGCGACUCUCUGGCCUGUAACUGACCCUCAGGAGCGAAAUCAUGGGGAGCAAACACGAUUACAUACCCUGGGAUUCCACGNCCUUAAACCAUAAAUGCUAANUGGUAGGGGGUUCCCCCCCUCANUGNUGCACUAAGGCGUUAAAGGNCUCCGGCGCCGGAGUACGGUUGCAGGAGUGGUAAUCCCANNAAAGUUUNNNNGAGGGCCCGCCGAAACNNUUUUUANAUNNNAUUUUAUUNNAAAACAACCNCCCAAAA
rnacentral:rRNA from 1 species